rnacentral:rRNA from 1 species
GUUUGAUCCUGGCUCAGAGCGAACGUUAGCGGCGCGCCUAACACAUGCAAGUCGCACGAGAAAGGGGGCAACCCCCGGUACAGUGGCGCACGGGUGAGUAACACGUGGGUGAUCUGCCCAGAAGAAGGGGAUAACCUCUCGAAAGGGGGGCUAAUACCGCAUAGGACCACCGGGGCUCUGGCUCUGUGGUGAAAGGGGGCCUCUGUUUACAAGCUCCUGCUUCUGGAUGAGCCCGCGUCCCAUCAGCUAGUUGGUAGGGUAAUGGCCUACCAAGGCUACGACGGGUAGCUGGUCUAAGAGGAUGGCCAGCCACACUGGAACUGAGACACGGUCCAGACUCCUACGGGAGGCAGCAGUGGGGAAUCUUGCGCAAUGGGCGAAAGCCUGACGCAGCGACGCCGCGUGGGUGACGAAGGCCUUC